AGAGUUUGAUCCUGGCUCAGGACGAACGCUGGCGGCGUGCUUAACACAUGCAAGUCGAACGGUGAAGUCCCUUCGGGGGCGGAUCAGUGGCGAACGGGUGAGUAACACGUGGGCAAUCUGCCCCUCACUGUGGGAUAACUCCGGGAAACCGGGGCUAAUACCGCAUAUGAAGCCUGGCGGCAUCGCCGGGUUUGGAAAGUUUUUCGGUGAGGGAUGAGCCCGCGGCCUAUCAGCUUGUUGGUGAGGUAAUGGCUCACCAAGGCGACGACGGGUAGCCGGCCUGAGAGGGCGACCGGCCACACUGGGACUGAGACACGGCCCAGACUCCUACGGGAGGCAGCAGAGGGGAAUAUUGGGCAAUGGGCGAAAGCCUGACCCAGCGACGCCGCGUGCGGGAUGAAGGCCUUCGGG
rnacentral:rRNA from 1 species